rnacentral:lncRNA from 1 species
CCCUGCGCACCCUCACCUUCCUCAAUCUUUUAAACCUUAGCCCCACCCGACGGUUAUCCAUUUUCUGGCUAAGAUUUCGUUGAGGCAUCCAUGGUUUUCGGCCGAUUCUAUCUCUGGCGAUGAAGAGUAUCUAAGAUUCAUCGGAUAUGUACUUCCUCCGAUCUCCAACUCCACCGUUCUCUCUCUCAGCCCUAAAUCUCACCAAUGGAGGCCCCCUCUUCCUUCUCGGAAGAACAGAGAAAAAAAAAAUAGAGGAAGAAAGAAGAGAAGGAAGAGUCGAUUAUUUCAAGUUCGGUGUCUAAAACAAUCGAAGGAACAUCACCGGCGAUGGACGGGGUUUUAGAGCAGAGCAGAGUGGUGAGGAGGGUUACGUCACCGACGAUGGACGGGGUUUUGGAGUAGAG